rnacentral:rRNA from 1 species
AUUGAACGCUGGCGGCAUGCCUUACACAUGCAAGUCGAACGGCAGCACGGACUUCGGUCUGGUGGCGAGUGGCGAACGGGUGAGUAAUGUAUCGGAACGUACCCUUCAGUGGGGGAUAACUAUCCGAAAGGAUAGCUAAUACCGCAUAUUCUCUGAGGAGGAAAGCGGGGGAUCGCAAGACCUCGCGCUGAUGGAGCGGCCGAUAUCAGAUUAGCUAGUUGGUGGGGUAAAGGCCUACCAAGGCGACGAUCUGUAGCGGGUCUGAGAGGAUGAUCCGCCACACUGGGACUGAGACACGGCCCAGACUCCUACGGGAGGCAGCAGUGGGGAAUUUUGGACAAUGGGGGCAACCCUGAUCCAGCCAUGCCGCGUGAGUGAAGAAGGCCUUCGGGUUGUAAAGCUCUUUCGGCCGGGAAGAAAUCGCGUGAGUUAAUACCUUGCGUGGAUGGCGGUACCGGAAUAAGAAGCACCGGCUAACUACGUGCCAGCCGCCGCAGUAA